UUGAACGCUGGCGGCAUGCUUUACACAUGCAAGUCGAACGGUAACAGGGAGCUUGCUCCGCUGACGAGUGGCGAACGGGUGAGUAAUGCAUCGGAACGUACCCAGUCGUGGGGGAUAACGUAGCGAAAGUUACGCUAAUACCGCAUACGUCCUGAGGGAGAAAGCGGGGGACCGUAAGGCCUCGCGCGAUUGGAGCGGCCGAUGUCGGAUUAGCUAGUUGGUGGGGUAAAGGCCUACCAAGGCGACGAUCCGUAGCGGGUCUGAGAGGAUGAUCAGCCACACUGGGACUGAGACACGGCCCAGACUCCUACGGGAGGCAGCAGUGGGGAAUUUUGGACAAUGGGCGCAAGCCUGAUCCAGCCAUGCCGCGUGAGUGAAGAAGGCCUUCGGGUUGUAAAGCUCUUUCAGACGGAAAGAAAUCGGGCGCGUGAAUAGCGUGCCUGGAUGACGGUACUGUCAGAAGAAGCACCGGCUAACUACGU
rnacentral:rRNA from 1 species